rnacentral:rRNA from 1 species
CUCUUAGAGCUAUUCUAGGUAAUCUCUGCCCUAUGAAUUAUUUAAAUGGCCGCAGUAUUUUGACUGUGCAAAGGUAGCAUAGUCACUUGCUUCUUAAUUGGAAGCUGGAAUGAAAGAGGCGACGAAAUCUGGGCUAUUUAAAUUUUACAAUAAAUUGACAUGCUGGUUAAAAGGCCUGUAUGCACCAGUGGGACGAUAAGACCCUAUAAAACUUUACUCUUAGUAUAAAAUUGACUGGAAGUGUGAUGGUAUUUAAGAGUUUUACUGGGGCGGUAGUUAUAAAAACAAUUAUAUAUAUAAUAUAUUAAAUAACAUUUAUAGAACUCUUUGAGAAAUAGAACAAGUUACUUUAGGGAUAACAGCGUAAUUCUCCCAGAGAGCUCUAAUUGGCGGGAGAGCUUACGACCUCGAUGUUGAAUUGGGGUGUCUUAUAUAAGUAGACAUAUAUAUGGUCAGUCUGUUCGACUGUUAAACCCCC